CAAGUCGAGCGAGAAAAGGGGAGCAAUCCUCUGAGUAAAGCGGCGCACGGGUGAGUAACACGUGGGUAAUCUGCCCUGGAGUGGGGAAUAACACCGGGAAACCGGUGCUAAUACCGCAUACGAUAACGAGAUCUGCGGAUUUUGUUAUGAAAGGAGCAAUUCGCUCUAGGAGGAGCCCGCGGCUGAUUAGCUAGUUGGUGAGGUAAUGGCUCACCAAGGCUACGAUCAGUAUCCGGUCUGAGAGGACGGUCGGACACACUGGAACUGAGACACGGUCCAGACUCCUACGGGAGGCAGCAGUGGGGAAUUUUUGGCAAUGGGGGCAACCCUGACCAAGCAACGCCGCGUGGGUGAUGAAGUAUCUCGGUACGUAAAACCCUUUCGACGGGGAAGAAAACCGCAAGGUUUGACGGUACCCGUAGAAGAAGCCCCGGCUAACUCCGUGCCAGCAGCCGCGGUAAUACGGGGGGGGCAAGCGUUGUUCGGAAUUACUGGGCGUAAAGGGCGCGUAGGCGGUUUGCUAAGUUGGAUGUGAAAACUCUGGGCUUAACCCAGAGCCUGCAUUCAAAACUGACAGGCUAGAGUUCUGGAGGGGAUAGCGGAAUUCCUGGUGUAGCGGUGAAAUGCGUAGAUAUCAGGAGGAACACCGGUGGCGAAGGCGGCUAUCUGGACAGAAACUGACGCUGAGGCGCGAAAGCUAGGGGAGCAAACAGGAUUAGAUACCCUGGUAGUCCUAGCCCUAAACGAUGGAUACUUGCUGUGACUGGGAUUGAAUCCAGUCGUGGCGAAGCUAACGCAUUAAGUAUCCCGCCUGGGGGAGUACGGUCGCAAGGCUGAAACUC
rnacentral:rRNA from 1 species